UCGGUUUGCAAACAAAGUGUUGGUUUUUUUAUCCUCUGUUUUUUUCUUUGGUCUAUAU
rnacentral:sRNA from 1 species